rnacentral:rRNA from 1 species
UACGAAGGUGGCAAGCGUUACUCGGAAUUACUAGGCGUAAAGGGCAGGUAGGUGGUUUGAUAAGUCUGUUGUGAAAGCUCCCGGCUCAACUGGGAGAGGUCAACAGAUACUGUCAGGCUUGAGUAUAGGAGAGGGUACUGGAAUUCCCGGUGUAGCGGUGAAAUGCGCAGAGAUCGGGAGGAACACCAAUGGCGAAAGCAGGUACCUGGACCAUUACUGACACUCAGCUGCGAAAGCUAGGGGAGCAAACAGGAUUAGAAACCCCAGUAGUCC